CCCAGACUCCUACGGGAGGCAGCAGUGGGGAAUAUUGCACAAUGGGGGAAACCCUGAUGCAGCGACGCCACGUGAAGGAAGAAGUAUUUCGGUAUGUAAACUUCUCUCAGCAGGGAAGAAAAUGACGGUACCUGACUAAGAAGCCCCGGCUAACUACGUGCCAGCAGCCGCGGUAAUACGUAGGGGGCAAGCGUUAUCCGGAUUUACUGGGUGUAAAGGGAGCGUAGGCGGUAAUGCAAGUCAGAAGUGAAAGCCCGGGGCUCAACUCCGGGACUGCUUUUGAAACUGUGUUACUAGAGUGCAGGAGAGGUAAGUGGAAUUCCUAGUGUAGCGGUGAAAUGCGUAGAUAUUAGGAGGAACACCAGUGGCGAAGGCGGCUUACUGGACUGUAAAUGACGCUGAGGCUCGAAAGCGUGGGGAGCAAACAGGAUUAGAUACCCUGGUAAUC
rnacentral:rRNA from 1 species